CAAGAACAUCUCACAGGAUUAGAUCACCUCUAUUCCAGACCCUCUGAGAUCCCAUCCAUUUUGUUCUGCUGCUGUGAGAGGGAAAAGCCAGGAAGAAGCGGAUGCCAAGGUCUUUCUACUGCUGCUGCUAGUCCCCAUUUUCACAGCUGCUCAAUGGACUGAUGUGAUUUCAGAGCUUCUUGACGCACUGUCUUGGACCUUUUGCCUGGUAAACAGCUAUGUACAAAACUCACUGCAAGGAAAAUCCUGCGAUCGCUUUAACAUCAAUGAAUUUCACAGCUGACUGACUGUAACAAGGACUCUGUGGGCUUCUGGCGUACAUUCAGUUUUCAUAUUCAACAUAAUUCUUCUUGAGGUUCCAACUGCGGGUGAGAUCUCUAAAAACAGAGAAGUCUAUUAACACAAACAG